rnacentral:rRNA from 1 species
AAUGAACGUUGGCGGCAUGGAUUAGGCAUGCAAGUCGAGCGAGAAGGAAAUCAAAGUUUACUUUGGUUUCCGGAAAGCGGCGAAAGGGAGAGUAACGCGUAGUUAUCUACCCCAAGGCCCGGAAUAGCUGCGGGAAACUGCAGGUAAUGCCGGAUAAUAUCCCCGGAUCAAAGGUGUGAUUCCGCCUUGGGAGGAGACUGCGUUGUACUAGCUUGUUGGUAGGGUAAUGGCCUACCAAGGCUACGAUGCAUAGCGGGCGUGGGAGCGUGGCCCGUCUCACUGGGACUGAAACACUGCCCAGACACCUACGGGUGGCUGCAGUCGAGAAUCUUCGGCAAUGGGCGAAAGCCUGACCGAGCGAUGCCGCGUGCGGGAUGAAGGCCCUCGGGUUGUAAACCGCUGUCGUAGGGGAGAAAGGACCGUUGAAGAGACGGUUUUGAUCUAUCCUAGGAGGAAGUCCGGGCUAAGUUCGUGCCAGCCGCCGCCGUAAAAC